UUAACUCUCUUCAAGCAAAUUCUGCGACACCUCCGUCAUUUGCCACCACUUCAAAUAAGCCUUCAACACUACAGCUAGCUAAGACAUGGGCCGACACAAUCGCUUGUGGUGUUUUGAUGUUCAAUGAUGACCAAAACAUACCUGAUGGAGCCGUUACUUUUGCCCAAUUAUCUGAUCAGCUGCCUACUAAAUCAGCGUCUCGCCAUCUAAAGUACGCUACUGACCAUUGGACUGCACGUGCUUAUCAGCCUAAACUGAGUAUUGACAGCCUUGCUUCUGUUGAACAAUUCAUGAACAAACUAUCUGAAGAUGUUGCUAGGAGGCCUUGGGUCAGACAUGAUUAUCCAAGAUUCAUUUCAAUCAAUGGAUCUUCCAUUAGAGACCAGUUAGUUGGUGAUACACCACUAGACCA